rnacentral:rRNA from 1 species
AGACGUCUACAUUAGAUACCCGCGUAGUCCCAGCCGUAAACUAUGCGCGUUAGGUGUAUCGGUGACCACGAGUUACCGAGGUGCCGAAGGGAAACCGUGAAACGUGCCGCCUGGGAAGUACGGUCGCAAGGCUGAAACUUAAAGGAAUUGGCGGUGGAGCACCACAACGGGUGGAGCCUGCGGUUUAAUUGGACUCAACGCCGGGAAGCUCACCGGAUAAGACAGCGGAAUGAUUGCCGGGCUGAAGACUCUGCAUGACUAGCUG